rnacentral:rRNA from 1 species
GAUGAACGCUGGCGGCGUGCCUAAUACAUGCAAGUCGAGCGAACAGACGAGGAGCUUGCUCCUCUGACGUUAGCGGCGGACGGGUGAGUAACACGUGGAUAACCUACCUAUAAGACUGGGAUAACUUCGGGAAACCGGAGCUAAUACCGGAUAAUAUAUUGAACCGCAUGGUUCAAUAGUGAAAGACGGUUUUGCUGUCACUUAUAGAUGGAUCCGCGCCGCAUUAGCUAGUUGGUAAGGUAACGGCUUACCAAGGCAACGAUGCGUAGCCGACCUGAGAGGGUGAUCGGACACACUGGAACUGAGACACGGUCCAGACUCCUACGGGAGGCAGCAGUAGGGAAUCUUCCGCAAUGGGCGAAAGCUUGACGGAGCAACGCCGCGUGAGUGAUGAAGGUCUUCGGAUCGUAAAACUCUGUUAUUAGGGAAGAACAAAUGUGUAAGUAACUAUGCACGUCUUGACGGUACCUAAUCAGAAAGCCACGGCCAACUACGUG